UACAGAGGUCUCAAGCGUUGUUCGGAUUCAUUGGGCGUAAAGGGUGUGUAGGUGGCGCGCUAAGUCGGGUGUGAAAUUUCGGAGCUUAACUCCGAAACUGCAUUCGAUACUGGCGUGCUUGAGGACUGGAGAGGAGACUGGAAUUCAUGGUGUAGCAGUGAAAUGCGUAGAGAUCAUGAGGAAGACCAGUGGCGAAGGCGGGUCUCUGGACAGUUCCUGACACUGAGACACGAAGGCCAUGGGAGCAAACGGG
rnacentral:rRNA from 1 species